UGUAUUCACCAAUGAAAUUGAUGGAUGCAUAUUGUGUUACUUAUGCAUAUACAAUUAUGUUCUGAAGACUGAAAAAUUUACAUAAAAAUGGGUUAUCAUUGUUAUAUCCAUUGAAAUUUUGAUGCCUUCCAUGAAGAAUUACAUGGACCAAUGAAAACUAGAUCAAACUCUGAGCUGUCUCCUAAUAGAUAAAGUAAUAUUUUGUUGAACUGUGUAAUAAUGAUUCAUUUAAUAGUGAAAAUAAAGAAAAAUUGCAGCUUAUUCAUCCUAGCAGAAGAUUGAUGUGCAUUUUCUCCCUUAGAUUAUGAUAGGCUGGCAUGUGGACUGAAUUUCAUCUGCAUAUGCAGUUUAUUAGUGAUCUCAGAAUUUAGAAAUAAUCAUAUUGUCAUAAUUGUAGAGUCACUAUGUUGCUAAAUGGGCAUUGUAGACGGAAAGCCCUAUGAAUUUGAUGUAGGCCAGUCUGUGAGAGGAAAUGUCCUAAAAGGUUUGGAUUUAGGAGUCGAGGGCAUGCGUGUAGAAGGCCAGGUGAGAAGUGAUUUCUAUGAGCAAGAAGAUCUCUGUGUUUUGUUACAAAUUUCAUUGAAGUCAUGACAAUAGGUAAAUGGAAGCUACAAAUGAUACUAAUGAACAACCACAUGGAAUUAAAAUUGAUCUUACUCAAGAUUUUGAUUUGUUUUACUCCAUCUUUGUCUAGUAAAUUGUUGUAUAAAUGUAUAGUUACUCAAGCAUUUUAGCACACUAGUAGCAUUUGUGCCAAUAUUUUUGCAUAAAUGGGUAAAAAUUGUUUAGAUUUUGAAUUGGAUACUUGGAUCAUAUGUUGUAAGCAGUAAUUUAGUUCAGUUUUUUUGCAGCGGCUGUUAAUUGUACCUCCUGAAUUUUUUUUUAUAUAAAACAAGUUUAGAUAAGUUGUAUCUCGGAGACUGUGAGGGAAAAGGAAUGCCUCAAGAUAGAGAGAGUAUUUAGUGGGGUACUUAUAUAUUAUACACCAAUGAAGUCCUCAUAUCGAUUAGUUUAUGUAAUUUGGUACUAAAGCUACCAUUUUAGCUCUAUGUCACAAAACCCAUACUAUAUUCUUAUGUAUCUAUACAACUUUUGAGUUCCAUUAACACCACCACCACAACUCUAAUUGAUCAAAUUCCUUAGGCUUAA